AGCUCAACUGGUAGAGCAUGCGCGUACAAAGCGUAGGCGGCGUCCAUGCGUGGGUUCGAAUCCCAC
rnacentral:tRNA from 1 species